CCCCCCGACCACCACCAUACCCACCACCACCCCCGGGUCGGAGAUGAGAGGAGCUGACCCAUAAAAUAUCUGCAAAAUUUUCUACUACUAUUUUUUAUUUUAUAGUUUUGUGAUUCUUGGGUUUAUGGAGUGUAGAGAAAUGUGGGAUCUAAACGAUUCUCCAGAUCGACGAAGGGAUGAUAAAUCAGAAGAAGGCUUCUCUUCUCCUAUAGAGCUAGAGGGCGAUGAUGAGAAAGGUAAACGGGUCGGAUCCGUUUCGAAUUCAAGUUCAUCAGCAGUAGCUAUUGAUGAUAUUUCGGAGGAGGAAGAAGGAGAAAAAGGCAAGAAAAAGAGAAGUAGUCCUAGCAAAAUAUUUGGCUUCUCCGUGGUGGGUCCCGGUAACGACGAUGAGGAACAGCCGGUAACCCGCCAGUUUUUCCCGGUUGAUGAGUCUGAGCCAGGUGCCCCUACCAAUGGAUCCCCGAAUUUUCCCAUGGCUCACUGGGUUGGAGUUAAAUUUUACCAAACUGAGCCACUUGGCAACACGGGAGCGGGCAAGCCAAUGGAUGUGGCUCAGCAACAGCAGCAGCAGCAGCCUAUGAAGAAGAGCCGCCGUGGACCAAGGUCUAGGAGCUCACAGUACCGUGGGGUUACCUUUUACCGGAGAACUGGCCGGUGGGAGUCUCACAUAUGGGAUUGCGGGAAGCAAGUCUAUCUAGGUGGGUUUGACACGGCACAUGCAGCAGCUCGGGCAUACGAUAGGGCAGCUAUCAAAUUCCGGGGAGUAGAAGCAGACAUAAACUUUAACUUAGAGGAUUAUGAGUCCGACUUGAAACAGAUGACCAAUUUAACAAAGGAAGAAUUUGUGCAUGUGCUUCGGAGGCAAAGUACUGGAUUUCCGAGGGGAAGCUCCAAGUAUAGAGGGGUGACUUUGCACAAAUGUGGUAGAUGGGAAGCUAGAAUGGGACAGUUCUUAGGCAAAAAGUAUGUUUAUUUGGGCCUCUUUGAUACUGAGGUUGAAGCUGCCAGGGCUUAUGAUAAAGCUGCUAUCAAGUGUAAUGGGAAGGAUGCAGUUACUAACUUUGAUCUUAGCAUUUAUGAAAAUGAACUCAACUCAACUGAAUCUACUGAUAACGCAGCAGAUCACAAUCUUGACCUAAGCUUGGGUGGUUCAAGCUCAAAGCAAGGAAACCGAGAAAUUGGGGAUAAUAACAAUAGGGGUCAAAAUCCUUCAUCUAUGCAAUUUGAUGUUGAUUGGCGGCAGCAAGGAUUAAGGCCUGAGAAGCAAACUGCUCCAAUCGAUAUGAAUGCUCGAAGAAGAGAUAAGGGGUACAAUGAAUCAGAAACGUUGCAGCUCUUGAGCCAGACACACCUACAUUCUCCAGUCUCGUUGAAGCCUAAUAAUAAUAGUCAAGUGNAAAUGUAGGAGAAAUUUCGCUGUCAACAAGCAAUGCUUCUUCACAAUGGCAAUCCAAUUAUCCUUCUCAGAUAUUUGCAGCUGCUGCAGCAUCAUCAGGAUUCCCCCAGCAGAUAGUAAGGCCUCAAAAUUGGUCCUCAGAAAAUGGCUUCCAUCACUCUCUCAUGAGACCCUCUAAUUAACUUCUUCAUCAUCAUAUUUCUUUGCCAUUUAUAAACCUUUGUAAAGAGUUAAGGGUUGAGAUUCUUAAUACAUAGUAUUACCCAAGGCUCUUGGUUACAACCCCGGAAAAAGAAAAAUAGAAACAAAAAUUUUUGGGAAAUUCUAACUCUUUGGAAAAUUAUGUCUCCUCCGCAUUUGUCCAAAACUAACUGAAGGAAAGAUUUUCAACUAGUCUUCUAUUA